rnacentral:rRNA from 1 species
AUAUUGCACAAUGGGGGAAACCCUGAUGCAGCGACGCAGCGUGCGGGAUGACGGCCUUCGGGUUGUAAACCGCUUUCAGCAGGGAAGAAGCGAAAGUGACGGUACCUGCAGAAGAAGUACCGGCUAACUACGUGCCAGCAGCCGCGGUAAUACGUAGGGUACGAGCGUUGUCCGGAAUUAUUGGGCGUAAAGAGCUCGUAGGUGGUUGGUCACGUCUGCUGUGGAAACGCAACGCUUAACGUUGCGCGGGCAGUGGGUACGGGCUGACUAGAGUGCAGUAGGGGAGUCUGGAAUUCCUGGUGUAGCGGUGAAAUGCGCAGAUAUCAGGAGGAACACCGGUGGCGAAGGCGGGACUCUGGGCUGUAACUGACACUGAGGAGCGAAAGCAUGGGGAGCGAACAGGAUUAGAUACCCUGGUAGUCCAUGCCGUAAACGUUGGGCACUAGGUGUGGGGGACAUUCCACGUUCUCCGCGCCGUAGCUAACGCAUUAAGUGCCCCGCCUGGGGAGUACGGUCGCAAGGCUAAAACUCAAAGGAAUUGACGGGGCCCCCCC